GCAUAGGUCUGGCUAUGUGGCAAAGUAAGUGUUGUGAGGGAGAAUUCAGUCUGAGGAUGAGGUAAUCUUCUAAGGUUCAUUCACUGUUCAUGCACAUUCUCAGUCCGGUAAUUCUCUCUACUUUAAAUUCUCAAUACUAGCUAGUUCAACCGUAUUCUUUAUUGUAAACAAAAAAUAAUAAUUUGAAUGACACAAACAUAUUCCUCACAUUGGAUUCCACUCUUAUUCGUAAGGACAGCUACAUCACAUACACAUGAGAUUAUAAAAUAAAUAAAAACAUUUGCCCAACCCCUCCAGUCCAACCUUCUUCUGUGAUGGCACUGCAGUGGAUAGCAGCCGUUUUACGGGCUCCUGACCAAUUCUGCUAAUAUUUCACACUGAUCUUUACUUUCUUUUGUACAUAAUGUUUUUGCCAUCAUUUCCUAUGACUGGAAACAGCUUCUGGACAUCAGAACAGGGAUCGCUAACCUUGAAUUAGACAACUUUUUUUUACUUCUCUUACUGCUCCGGACAUUCUGCAUAGUCCGUACCAGACCCUAAUCCCCGGGACUCGAAAGAGGAAGCGGCGGCAAAAGACAGAGUCGUGGCUGAAUGAGGACAUGGAUAUAUAUCGUGCUGGUUUUUCUACGCAUCUUCAAGACCGGACAGCGGACUCGGAUAAUACAUCCAUAACUGGUGCUACAUGCUGGACUCUUUGUCGAUGAUUGUUCACAACGCAAGAAGAGUACUGUUACAGUGGUGCUGUGACCGUUCUUCUGGAUCAUCCUUCGCUGGGCUUCCAUUCCAUAAGUUUGACCGUGGUUUCCAUUGGAGAAUCAGAUAAGAGUUUGCUAGUGCAGUUUGACCUGUACCUCAUUUCGCUCCAGGUGGGCACCAGUGCCUUAUCUUUCUCAGUACUGAAGUGUUUUGAUGAUUUUUGCUAUUGAGACACUUGCUACAUUCAUUGGGACUUUAACUUCACUGAUAAGUCAUAUAAUCUUCAUUGUAUUUGUUUAUUUACAAUUCUAAUGUAUAUAUUAUAUGACUAGGGUUGUUUUUUAUCAGUGUAGUUGAGAUUUCUGGUAACACUUUACUUAACACCCAGCAUCAUAACACAUCAUGACUCAUUUACACAUGUUGUGACAUACAGUACCGGUCAAAUGUUUGGACACACCUACUCAUUCAAGGGUUCUUCUUCAUUUUUACCAUUUUCUACAUUGUAGAAUAAUAUUAAAGACAUAAACUAUGAAAUAACACAUAACACAAAACCUGGAUGGUAAAUUGCUGAGGUUGGUAACGAAAUACAUUGUGACUCCUGUUUGUCACACAAUUUUAGCCAAGAACAAGACAUGGCGGGAGGCAAAGGUCAUUCCGCUACCCAAGAAUAGCAGAGCACUCUUUAAUGGUUAAGUUAUUUUACAGAAAACAAAAUUAACACACAUAGCCCCCGGUCUCAAGAAUCCCAAGAUAAUUUGUUUUAUUGGGUGUGCUCACCUAGUCUAUAGUUGUUAGGAUAAUUGCCAUAAGGGAAAUACUACUGUUAGUAAAGUACCAUGGAUAAGGUCGUUAAUACUGUGAAGGUAAAAAAAAUGCAUUGUGGUUUUGUCAGUAUUUGUAUUUGUAUUUAUUAUGGAUCCCCGUUAGCUGCUGCCAAAGCAAAAUUAAGGCAGUUUAUACAAUUUUAAAAACAUUACAAUACAUUCACAGAUUUCACAACACACCUUAGGCCCCUACUCCACCACUCCCACAUAUCUACAGUACAAAAUCUCUGUGUAUGUAGAGUGCGUAUGUUAUCGUGUGUGUGCAUGUGUCUGUGCCAAUGUUAGUGUUGCUUCACAGUCCUCGCCAUUACAUAAGGUGUUUCGAUGUUAUAUAAUGUUUAGAUUAGUGUAUUAUAUUAUCCACACCCAAUAGCCAACUCUAGUGCACUAUAUACCCUGUAAAGGGGUUACUGUAAAUUUGACAGUAGUUUAUAGGCAGCUCGGUGGAAAGUAAAAUUCUUUAUUUCAUGUUACAGUACACCCAUUGUAAUAUAAAUAUGGUAUCAAAGCAAGUACUGUGUAAUAACAUGUAGUACCAUAACAUUGGCAGUAUUAUACUAUAAGAACGUACAUUGUACCGUAAUCCAAAUUAAUUAAUGAAUGGAUUAAUUAAAUUCAUUGAAGGGAUGGGUUUGUAUUUUACAGUAUUUUACUGACAUUUCAAGGGUUGGUGCAAGCAGGUUGGCUGCGAGGUACAUAUUCAUAUUUGCACUUCUAGAGGCCUUAACAAAGGCUUACAAACUGGCAGCGACUACAGGGCAAAACACAACAAAAGGACAUGGCAAAACCCUCAACCAUUUAAGGUUCAAGACUUGCUGCCACUCCAAUCUGUCCCCUCCACAAAUGAAUGAGGCACUAUAACCACAUAGGAAUUAAAUUGGCACAGCAUUCCACUCAAAGGUGCAACAAAUAUAGCCUCUUACAAGGCACACCUCAAAAUAUGUUAAUGAGCCAGAAACAACAAUACCAUGCCAUGCACCCACUAGAACUGGAUUCUGAGGGGUGGAAUUACAGUACGAUUCUAAAUACAGGAAUUAUUUCCCUGCCCACAAACCUUUCCCACAAUGCACCAUCAUUUAUAGUAUGCUGCAGUAAAACAUUUGAGUAUUUUACUGUUAAUAAUAACAAAACGACUGUAUAAUUUACAGUUUUCUUUUACAGUGUAGGGAAUAGGGUGCCAUUUGGGACAUAGCCUGGGUCAAGAAUCACCUCCUGGUUCCACUUAGAGCUUUGUUUCAUUAUUUCUGAUGUAUCACUGGUCCGUUCGCCUGUAUUCUCUUUCAUAUACCUUUAAGUGUAAUUCAUAGCUUACAAUCAUGCAACUAACUGUGACUUGCUGACACUGAGUUAUUCCAUUUUGGAGUUGUUCCCAGACCUUGAAACUGGGUAGUGACAUGGGGCACCAGCCAACAGGAGACGGAUGGUCAGUCCCAGGAGAGGACACGGCAGGGUUUGACCAAAAGCACAGUCACCCAGGGUUGCAGUGUUCAGCUGCCCAAUGCUGGCUGACACUCAUCCAGACUGGUAGACUGGUACUUCUGCAAACCCCUCAGACUGCCACUGCACAAGACUGACCAACCAGUGGGAAACAAAGGGAAGAUUUUCAUUUCUGCAAUGCCAGGCCUGCAAAUGGAGGAGCGGAAACAAUGGUCAAAGUGAUCACAUGGAUAAAUUGUUGUUAUAAUUGUGCUGACCUGAACAAAAUCAAAAUCCAUGUAAGUGGACAAUAAAGGUAAUGUAAUCUGAUCCAAUUUAAUCAUUCAUAUUUGUUAUCCCUUAUCUCUCCCUACAAAAAACAUUUGUUUUUGUUUAUGUCCUGAAUAGAAAGUAUUAUGUUUGGGAAAUCCAACACAUCACUGAGUACUACUCUUCAUAUUUUCAAGCACCGUGUUAUGGGUAUGCUUGUCAUCAGCACGGGAGUUUUUUAUGAUAAAAAUAAAUGGAAUAGAGCUAAGCACAGGCAAAAUCCUAGAGGAAAACCUGGUUCAGUCUGCUUUCCAACAGACAUUGGAAUACAAAUCCACCUUUCAGCAGGACAUAACCUAAAACAAAAGGCCAAAUCUACACUUGAGUUGCUUACCACAGCGGCAUUGAAUGUUCCUGACCGGCCUAGUUACAGUUUUGACUUAAAUCAUCUUGAAAAUCUAUGGCAAGAUGUGAAAAUGGCUCCCUAGCAAUGAUCAACAACCAACUUGACAGAGCUUGAAUAUAAAAAAUAAUGUGCAAAUAUUAUAUGUGCAAAUAUUGUACAGUCCAGGUGUGCAAAGCUUUUAGAGACUUACCCAGAAAGACUCACUGCUGUAAUAGCUGCCAAUGGUGAUUUUAACACGAUUCUGUCCUAUGUAGCAAAAUUUGAAAUUGUGUUUUUUACAUUGGAUAAAAGUAAACUUGCGGCCUCCCGGGUGGCGCAGUGGUCAGCAUCGCAGUGCUAGCUGUGCCACCAGAGACUCUGGGUUCGAGCCCAGGCUCUAUCGCAGCUGGCCGUGACCGGGAGGUCCAUGGGGCGACGCACAAUUGGCCUAGCGUCGUCCGGGUUAGGGAGGGUUUGGCCGGUAGGGUUGUCCUUGUCUCAUCGCGCACUAGCGACUCCUGUGGCGGGCCGGACGCAGUGCACGUUGACCAGGUCGCUAGGGGCACGGUGUUUCCUCCGACACAUUGGUGCGGCUGACUUCCGGGUUGGAUGCGCGUUGUGUUAAGAAGCAGUGCGGCUUGGUCGGGUUGUGUUUCGGAGGACGCAUGACUCUCGACCUUCGUCUCUCCCGAGCCUGUACAGGAGUUGUAGCGAUGAGACAAGAUAGUAACUACUAAAAACAAUUGGAUACUAAGAAAUUCGGGCGAAAAAAGGUGUACAAUUCAACAACAAAAAAAAGAAAAUAAACUUGUAACCUGCUCUUUUGAGAAAAUGGCCAUUGAAUUUUU